rnacentral:rRNA from 1 species
UACAGAGAGUGCAAGCGUUAAUCGGAAUUACUGGGCGUAAAGCGUACGUAGGUGGAUAUUUAAGUCGGAUGUGAAAGCCCCGGGCUCAACCUGGGAACUGCAUCCGAUACUGGAUAUCUAGAGUAUGGUAGAGGGAAGUGGAAUUUCCGGUGUAGCGGUGAAAUGCGUAGAUAUCGGAAAGAACACCAGUGGCGAAAGCGGCUUCCUGGACUAAUACUGACACUAAGGUACGAAAGCGUGGGGAGCAAACAGG